rnacentral:rRNA from 1 species
AUUGAACGCUGGCGGAAUGCUUUACACAUGCAAGUCGAACGGCAGCACGGGGCAACCUGGUGGCGAGUGGCGAACGGGUGAGUAAUACAUCGGAACGUGCCCAAUCGUGGGGGAUAACGUAGCGAAAGUUACGCUAAUACCGCAUACGAUCUACGGAUGAAAGCGGGGGAUCGCAAGACCUCGCGCGAAUGGAGCGGCCGAUGUCAGAUUAGGUAGUUGGUGGGGUAAAGGCUCACCAAGCCAACGAUCUGUAGCUGGUCUGAGAGGACGACCAGCCACACUGGAACUGAGACACGGUCCAGACUCCUACGGGAGGCAGCAGUGGGGAAUUUUGGACAAUGGGCGCAAGCCUGAUCCAGCCAUUCCGCGUGCAGGAUGAAGGCCUUCGGGUUGUAAACUGCUUUUGUACGGAACGAAACGGCGAGCUCUAAUACAGUUUGCUAAUGACGGUACCGUAAGAAUAAGCACCGGCUAACUACGUGCCAGCAGCCGCGGUAAACG